rnacentral:rRNA from 1 species
AUUGAACGCUGGCGGAAUGCUUUACACAUGCAAGUCGAACGGCAGCACGGACUUCGGUCUGGAGGCGAGUGGCGAACGGGUGAGUAAUACAUCGGAACGUGCCCAGUCGUGGGGGAUAACGUAGCGAAAGCUACGCUAAUACCGCAUACGAUCUACGGAUGAAAGCGGGGGAUCGCAAGACCUCGCGCGAUUGGAGCGGCCGAUGGCAGAUUAGGUAGUUGGUGGGGUAAAGGCUCACCAAGCCGACGAUCUGUAGCUGGUCUGAGAGGACGACCAGCCACACUGGGACUGAGACACGGCCCAGACUCCUACGGGAGGCAGCAGUGGGGAAUUUUGGACAAUGGGCGCAAGCCUGAUCCAGCCAUUCCGCGUGCAGGAUGAAGGCCCUCGGGUUGUAAACUGCUUUUGUACAGAACGAAAAGGCUCUGGUUAAUACCUGGGGCUCAUGACGGUACUGUAAGAAUAAGCACCGGCUAACUACGUGCCAGCCGCCGCAGUAA